UGGGGAAUAUUGGACAAUGGGCGAAAGCCUGAUCCAGCCAUGCCGCGUGUGUGAAGAAGGUCUUCGGAUUGUAAAGCACUUUAAGUUGGGAGGAAGGUCAGUAAGCGAAUACCUUGCUGUUUUGACGUUACCGACGGAAUAAGCACCGGCUAACUCUGUGCCAGCAGCCGCGGUAAUACAGAGGGUGCAAGCGUUAAUCGGAAUUACUGGGCGUAAAGCGCGCGUAGGUGGUUCGUUAAGUUGAAUGUGAAAGCCCCGGGCUCAACCUGGGAACUGCAUCCAAAACUGGCGAGCUAGAGUAGGGCAGAGGGUGGUGGAAUUUCAUGUGUAGCGGUGAAAUGCGUAGAUAUAGGAAGGAACACCAGUGGCGAAGGCGACCACCUGGGCUCAUACUGACACUGAGGUGCGAAAGCGUGGGGAGCAAACAGG
rnacentral:rRNA from 1 species